UACGUAGGAGGCAAGCGUUGUCCGGAAUUACUGGGCGUAAAGAGCGCGUAGGCGGUCCGAUAAGUCGGCUGUGAAAGUCAGGGGCUCAACCCUUGAAAGCCGGCCGAUACUGUCGGACUAGAGUCCGGAAGAGGCAAGUGGAAUUCCCAGUGUAGCGGUGAAAUGCGUAGAUAUUGGGAGGAACACCAGUGGCGAAGGCGGCUACCUGGACCGGUUCUGACGCUGAUGCGCGAAAGCGUGGGUAGCAAACAGG
rnacentral:rRNA from 1 species